UCAAUUGGCAGUGUAUAUUUAUAUUUUUCUUUUUAAAAAAUUGUCUUUCUUUCAGAUGAUGUCGAUUCUUAUGAACACCAUCAUUUUUGAGGAUUGCAGAAACCAAUGGUCUGUGUCAAGACCCCUCUUGGGGCUCAUACUCCUCAAUGAGAAAUAUUUUAGUGAAUUAAGGGCAGGGCUAAUAAACAGUCAGCCUCCUGAUAAACAAGAAGUUCUUCAUCAAUACUUCAGAAACCUAAUGGAAGGUGUGGAGCAGAACCUUCUAGUAAAGAACAGAGACAGAUUCACCCAGAACAUGUCCGUCUUCCGCAGAGACAUGGCUGAAAUCCUGCGCUGUGAGGGAGUGACGGAAUCAAGCAGUUCAGACAUGAUGAGUUGAUGCUGAACGUGAAUGGUGUUUAAAUAAUAAUGAUCAGAUUCUGAAAGUUGGGAUGCCACGCUAUAUUGUUAGAUAGGUUUUAACUUUCAUAGAAAAUAUUUUUUUAAAUAACUUCUGCCUGUUUGUAUCUCUGGCAUAAAUGUAAGGAUUUGUAACACUGGAAAAUGUGUAAAAUGAGACUUGGCAUAAAGAGCCAUUUUGAAUUUUCCUGUCCAGGUUUCUUAUUUCUUUUUUCAAUUACAUGGUGCCGAAAUGGGACUUAACCAAAGACCAAAAUACAAUAUGUGUUUUCUCCAUGAAAUUACAUUUAUUAGGGGUUUUAAAUCUGCAAUCUAACAAAUAAACAAUUUCAUACAUUCUUUUUUAGGUUCCUGGUGCUGUCUCGAGUUCUUUCAUAACUUUAUUCAAACUCUGAAUGAACAGAAAGUAUAAUUUUAACCAAUAAACAUGGAAAAGUGUAGGAUUUAUGUCUAAGUGUACUGU
rnacentral:lncRNA from 11 species